CCAUGGUAAGAUCUACUUCAGACCACACUCCCUUUCUACUUUCCUUCACUGCUAACCAUAAGAUAAAAUCAAAGAGCUUCAAGCCUUUUCAAUUUGAAAAUGCUUGGUAUCUUCAGUAAAAUUUUGAGAGUCUAAUUAAACAGUGGUGGCAAAGUACUUCAUCUUCAUCAGAAGCAGUUUCUAACCUAGUGCAGAAAUUAGGUUUCAUGUGCUCCCACCUG
rnacentral:lncRNA from 1 species